rnacentral:lncRNA from 1 species
AAGAGAAAGCGAAAGCUGGCCAAGCUAGAGAAAGCAAAGUCAAUAUGGCUAUUAUGAGCGUUUAACAUGCAUUCCAUUCCACUCCGCAAAUGGCUAAUCACCUCUGUAUGCUGUUCUAAUGCAUUUUGGCUUUAUAACAUGACCCGGUCUAAACCGCCUUUCUAGUUGUACAGGGGGUUCUUGACUCUGACUUCCCGGUCUAAACCGCCUUUCUAGUUGUACAGGGGGUUCUUGACUCUUACUUAUAUGCAUAUCGGCACCUAAAUAGAAGUCGUUUUGAUUUCCCAGUAGCUCCUUGCCUUGCCUUAACCGAUAAUGCGUGGAAGGAGUCGGAAUGCAGCUCGUUGCUUUGCUUCACUUCAAGCUGUUAGUAAUAUGUACGAAUGUAGUGUUCCGCAGAUAAGACAGGUACAGCAGAUGAGUACAGGUGUAAGAAAGAGGGAAAGGUUCGCUUCAAACCACUCCUUGACCUUGUUUCAAUUAAGAAUCAAUUCUAGUAGUUGCUAGUCGGGUUGAUUCGGCUGCUGCUGUAUAAGAGGAAACUAAACUCGUAGAAUUAGAUACGAGGGAGCGGUCUUCAACUCUUUCUCAAGUGUAGUAGGCCGUAGAGGAGGAUUCAGAUUAAAGGUUUUGUUCGUCCACCUGUUUUCGUUCCUUUCCCUUAGGAGUGAAGUUCCGUGUUCCAGUCGACCGAGAAGAUAAAAAGAAGGAAAGAACAAUGAGAGAAAGAAGAAGGUAUACUUCACUCUUCGUGCUAAACAUGUUCUGAUCCCAACAACCGGGUGUGGUGUCAGUGAUCAGUCCCGCUAGAAUGUAUUUCCUCCCUUUGUUUUAAGGAUUAGCAAUAACACUUGCACGCCAAAGUGGGAAAGUCAAAGAAAAGACGGGAAAGUCAAAGAAAAGACAUGAGAUCCAUUUCAUCAAACCCUUUAUGAAAAUACAAGACAAUUAAGUUAUUGGGCGAAGCACUUCUUCGACUGCCAUCCCAGUCAACGGAAAUGGGACUAACCGCUUCCGUGGGGAUUCCAGAUCAGAGAUUCUUUGCUCCGGAUCCAGACAUGCUUACCUAUGGGUGGCAGGUCCCUAUAUCCUAUCCAGAAGAUAGUCGAAAGAUAGAAUCAAAAGCCCUAUCUUUGAAUACCGGUGAGAGAGUAAGGGAGAGGCCCUCUUCCUGAAUAAAUAAGAAAGAGCCAUCUAUCUCGCCAGUCAAUAUAUGCUCUUAGCCAUCUUUACAAAAUGGAAGUGGAAGAUCAAAAGAAAAGCAAAGCUCCCUGACGCCCAGCAUGUUCCCAAACGACUCCAACUUCAAGGUUGGAUUAAGACUAAUCGGGUAUAGGUCCGCCCGAGACUCGUUUCCUUAGAAUGAGUAACUAAUACAAUAUUGCACAAGUAAUCUCCACAACAGGAUCCAGCAAUAAUGCAUGUGUCAGAAUAGCCUUUGAAUCCUUCUUAUCCGCCCCACACAAAGAGAAUAGAAUGCCAUAUUGCAAAGCUCAGACCCGAAACCAACCCUUUAUUGUAGAGCAUUGCCUUAACGUAAUCAGUUGAUCAACUCCACAGAGGCAUAAGAUUAUUGCUGAUUUCUGGGAUCCUUAUUGAUUGCUUGCUACGUGUCUUCAGAAGAUUGAUUAGACAACGGAACGAAAGCCAUUUCAUGCUUACUAGAGCCGCUCAUCUUUGAGCUAAAGAAUAUGAGUUAGGUCCAACACCGACCAAGACUAUAGUUGUCCCGAAACAAGAGAGGUUAAUUCAUUUCUUAUUGCACGAGUAGCGCUAUGCAACAAGGGACUAAUUGGGGGCAUUGAAGAAUGAUCGGCAAAUAGCACUCCUCACUCUAUUGUCAAUUCUUAAACAAACAGCUCACUCCUCUUACGAGCCAAUAGCAUAUCCUCUUACGAGCCACUCCUCUAUGAUGAACUAAGAAAUGAGAGUCUUAAAGAAAUGAGAGUAUUCUAUUAUGAGUCUUCUAUGUAAGUAUUACAGAAAUAUGAGUCUUCUAUGUAAGUAUUACAGAAAUGAGAGUAUAACUUCUAUUAUUAGUAUUAUCUUAUUAGAAAAAGCUAUUGAUGCCUGAAAAGGACUGAUGCUUCUAGUUGAUUUGAUGCCGGGUACUGAUCCCCAUAAAGAGAAUUCUAUCUUGAGAUGUACCGUCCGGGAUGGUGCGCGUAGGGAAGGUGAUGCAAGUUAAGGUGAUUGAUUGCUUUUCCAAAAGGCUCUGACAGAGGUGCAAGGGAUGUGGGAGGAUUUGCUAAUGCGCGCGCGUUGACUAUCGAUCGGUUCUAAUGCGUUGACUAUCGGUUCUAAUGCUUACUAUCGGGGGCUCUUAGAUAUGGUUCUCGAAUAGGAAGAGAGAGCGGGAGGGUACAGUCCCAUACAAGAGAAAUACAUAUUGAUGAUUUGGUAUUGAUAGGCUGGAGAGGAUUCGUUUGCCUCUGCUCCUGCAAGAAAGUAAUAAUAUAGAUAUCGAACGUAAGCUGGCCGCUGGUUAAUUCCCCUAAAGGUAUAAAGCUGAGGAUUAGUGUGUUCACUGGUUAUGGAGAAAGAAAAGAGCAGUGCUGGUGUUAACAAGAUAUUAUAUGGGACGGGCUCAACGGAUUAUGGGACAAGAACGGAGCUAACCUUGCUUGCUCCUGUCCAUGCAUUUGGAUUCGCACCUGGAAGUGGGACUGAAGCUCUGCCUCCCCCGCCUUGACUUGAACUUGGACUCCUAUUGCCCUUGUAGCGUUGGUGAAAUGGUAGCUUAUAGCUCUGCCCUUCCUUUUCCAAAACAACGAAAGAACCAAUUCAAUUAGCUCGU